rfam:Ornithorhynchus anatinus chromosome 3, whole genome shotgun sequence.
UUCCUCUCAGGAUUGCAGCUGGGGAAUUUCCAGUCCUCUACCAGUCUCAGCUACGGGAGGGAGAGUCAAGCAGAGACCUACCCAUUCCAUUCCUAGCUUGGGCAGUGGCUGGAGAGGGGAAGACAAUCUGCUACAAGU